AACAAGGCGUACCUGCGGACCUGCGGAGGGAUCAUUACCGAGUUUACAAACUCCCAACCCUAUGUGAACCUUACCAAUCGUUGCUUCGGCGGGCUUAGCCCCCGCGCCCUCGCCGGCGCCGGGAGAAAGGCGCCCGCCGGGGACCCCAAACCCAAUGUUUUUCAUGCAGUAUUUCUGAGUGGCAAACGCAAAAAUAAAUCAAAACUUUCAGCAAUGGAUCU
rnacentral:misc_RNA from 1 species